rnacentral:rRNA from 1 species
UAAAGCUACAAAGAGCUAAUGGGGAAUGCCUUGGUACUGACAGCCGACGAAGGACGUGUAAAGCUGCGAUAAGCCACGGGGAACUGCUAAAAGGUCUUGAUCCGUGGAAAUCCGAAUGGGGAAACCCUCCAGAGUUAAAACUUUGGAACCCGUAACUGAAUACAUAGGUUGCGCGGAGGAAAGCCUGUGAACUGAAACAUCUUAGUAACAGGACGAAGAGAAAAUAAACCAAUGAUUCCGAGAGUAGCGGCGAGCGAAAUUGGAAGAGCCUAAAUUGUGUGUACGUGAUAGCCUGCAAGCGUUGUGCACAUGAGGUUGUGGGACUUGCAUCAUAUUUUGCAGAAUAUGGAUUGAGUUAGAAAAUUAUUUAUUAGUUAAAGUCAACUGGGAAGUUGCGCCAUAGAGAGUGAUAGCCUCGUAAACGACAAUAAAUAAUCUCAAGUAAGUAUCCCGAGUAAGGCGGGGCACGUGAAACCCUGUCUGAAUCCACCGGGACCAUCCGGUAAGGCUAAAUACUAGUCAGUGACCGAUAGUGAACGAGUACAGUGAUGGAAAGGCGAAAAGAACAGUGAGAAGCUGAGUGAAAUAGACCCUGAAACCGUUAGCUUACAACCAGUCAGAGCACAAUUAAUUGUGUGAUGGCGUGCCUGUUGAAGAAUGAGCCGGCGAGUUAUUUUUUGUUGCGAGGUUAAGGAGAUCAUAUCCGGAGCCACAGGGAAACCGAGUCUGAAUAGGGCGUUAAGUAACAGGAAAUAGACCCGAACCUUGGUGAUCUAACCUUGACCAGGAUGAAGCGUGGGUAACACUACGUGGAGGUCCGAACCAACCGAUGUUGAAAAAUCGGUGGAUGAGUUGAGGUUAGGGGUGAAAUGCCAAUCGAACCAAGAGCUAGCUGGUUCUCCCCGAAAUGCGUUUAGGCACAGCGUUGGAUUUAUCUUGCAGGAGGUAGAGCACUGGUUUUGUGCGGGCGUCGAAAUGAUGUACCAAACAAUGUCAAACUCCGAAUACCUGUAAUGUCAUUAUCCAGCAGUGAGGCUAUGAGUGAUAAGAUCCAUGGCCAAGAGGGAAACAGCCCAGAACGCCAGUUAAGGUCCCUAAUAUAUGCUAAGUGGUUAAGGAGGUAGAGUUACUGAGACAACCAGGAGGUUGGCUUAGAAGCAGCCAUCCCUUGAAAGAGUGCGUAAUAGCUCACUGGUCAAGUGACUCCGCGCCGAAAAUACACCGGGACUAAAGCAUAUAACCGAAGCUGCGUCAUAUAGUUUACUAUAUGGGUAGGGGAGCGUACUGUAGUAAGACGAAGCUAGAGUGAAAACACUAGUGGAUGAGGCAGUAGUGAGAAGGUCGGCAUAAGUAGCGAAAACAUUGGUGAGAAUCCAAUGCACCGAAAACCUAAGGUUUCCCACGGCAGGCUCGUCCGCGUGGGGUUAGUCGGAUCCUAAGCUCAGGCCAAACGGCGUAGGCGAUGGACAAUAGGUUGAUAUUCCUAUACUAUCUGAUAAUCGUUAUCAGAAGCGGAGGGACGCAAGAGGAUAAGCACGCAGUCGAAUGGAAGAGACUGUAUAAGCGUGUAGCUAGGUUUGACAGGAAAAUCCGUCAAAUCGUUAAUGUGAGGCGUGAUGUGGAGAGUCUACGGACUCGAAGGUGUUGACUCCAAAUUGCCAAGAAAAUCUUCGCUCUCGAGAUUAUUGGGUAUCCGUACCGUAAACCGCCACAGGUAGGUUGGUAGAAAAUACUAAGGUGCGCGAGACAACUCUCGCUAAGGAACUCGGCAAAAUCACCUCGUAACUUCGGGAGAAGAGGUACCCUGGUAGCGUGAAGCGAUUUACUCGUGAAGCGUGAUAGGGUCGCAGUGAAUAGGCCCAAGCGACUGUUUACCAAAAACACAGGUCUCUGCUAAGUCGAUCAAGACGAUGUAUAGGGGCUGACGCCUGCCCGGUGUCGGAAGGUUACGCGGAAAUGUUAGAAGCAAUUCAAAGCAUCGAAGCUAAGCCCCGAUGAACGGCGGCCGUAACUAUAACGGUCCUAAGGUAGCGAAAUUCCUUGUCAGGUA